rnacentral:lncRNA from 1 species
UCUUGCAUUUUUAAUGUGUUUUAAAUCUAAGAAAAUGAACAGGGUGGAAAUGAACAGAAGGGAAGCAAGAAAGAAGUGCGGUCAUCUGGAUGAUGAGCGAGAUACAGCCAGGAGCGGAUUCGGGAGGAAGCUGAUUAAUCUGGCAUCGGACACGCUGGGUGUGAAGGCUCAUGUUUCAUCCACGUGGAAGGCCUGGCAGACUCAAAUGAGAAGGAUGUACAAGUUCGGCCAACAGCCAUGCCUGUCUGGCUGUGUCUGCUAUGAGGGUGCAUGUGUACUGGAGGGAGCUGUGUUGGCACACAAAGAGGCUGUGGCACCAUUGCACCCUCAGGAACCAAAGGGAAUGGAAGAGGGAAUGAGGCACUACCCGGGUUUAUUCCAGAUAAGCCACUUCUAUUGGAAGUGGGCCAAGGGGAAAGAAGAUGUCCAAGAUCCAAUCUCAUGCUCGCUUGAGAGGAUUCAGUGUGGUUGGUUGGGAUCAAGGGGACAUGCAGGCUGUAGCCAGGAUCACAGGCCCAGGAUGCCUGCAUCCAGCUGCCCAAAUCGGACAUGCUAAGGACACGCCAUCCUCUCCUGAAUCUUCAUUUAUGUACAAAGCCCUAGAGGCCCCUCACCAAGGUUUUCCUUUAGACAGUCCAGGCUCCUGACUGGUUCAAAGGCUUUCGCUGACAUUUCAGUUUGGAUUUUCCCAAACUGAAAGGUUCUGGGUGUUCUAGAGAUUUUUAAACCCUAAAUACUUUGAAAGGCGAUGGUUUGCUGGAAGCGGGACAAGCCAGUGUUAAAACGUGCGGUGAAAGAAGAGGGAGCAGAACAGAUCAAAAAUCAG